ACUACUGUGUACACUAUAGAGUAUUAUCUCCAUUUUGCAAAUGAAGAAACUGAGGUAUAAGGACAUUAUUUUCCCCAAUAUCCUACAGCUCACAAAUGUUAGAACUAAGGUCUGAAGCUAGUCCAAUGUUCUUUCUGCCACUAUUGCCUCUUAAAACAUUUUAGCUACAGAAAUAUUAACUUUCAGACCAAAUUAUGAAGGUCACUGGGAACGGAAAAAUGAUUGUUUAAAGAGAAAAUUUAAGCUUCAGAGAAGAAGGAAAGGGAGAAGUGAAGAAUAAAUAAGGAAGAAAAAAAUAGAAAGAGGAGAGACAAAAAGGGAUAAAAAAAUAUGUCCAAAUAACUUUACAGGGCAAAUAGAGGGCUGGGGUCCCUACAACAAGAGUUGGGAGCAGAACAGGGUUAUGAGGCUCGCCAGAGGAACUUGGUGUAGACCUGUAAAAAGUAGCAGAGCACCCAGGGUGAAGCCUAGGAAGAGCCAAACAGCCAAUCUAAAUAAAGUACCAAUCAGGCAAAGGGCUAGAGUCCAGGGAAAUGGGGCAGUCAUCAUUGUCUCCUAGAAAGAGCAGGCAGAGAACAGCGUCCAGGGAAAGAAACCGGUAGUUUGCGAGGGGGGAUAGGAGAGAUUUCUCCAAGCACAGGAAGAGUGUAGCUGGGCCCAUCAAUGGCCAUUGUCCGAUAUGUGUUUGUCCAUUUUGUUUUGCUUGGACGUCAACGGCCUUGUGUGUGUGCAAAAAAGAGCUUUUAAGGACCCCAAUCUGGUUUGGACAAGGUGACAGAAGCCAAAAGUUACCUUGGUUGAGUCUUAAGGGAAUGAAUUUUGAGAGUUACCUGUUCAAAAGCCAAAAUGUUCAAAUCCCGAAAUGUUCACAUCAAUCACCAAAGAUGCCCCCGAAAUGUUCACAUCAAUCGCCAAAGAUGCCCGCAGUGAGUGUUUGUUUUCUUGUUUGUAUCUCUGUUUCAACUCAGUUGUACUUUGAGCUACACAGAUCCUUCAAAAGAAUAAAAGCUGGGUUUCUUAACCCCCGCUUUGGUUAGCGUGUAUGCUUUCAGCACCUAUGUUUAGUAUUUUUUAGAAUGUAGCCUUUGUAAACUUCACCCACUGUAUUUUGCUGAAGUCAGACUCACCCUUUGUUCACCAGUAAUCAGCAAACAUUUGUUAGUGACGACAGUGGCACUCUGGUUAGCCCU
rnacentral:lncRNA from 1 species